rnacentral:rRNA from 1 species
UACGAAGGGGGCUAGCGUUGCUCGGAAUCACUGGGCGUAAAGCGCACGUAGGCGGCUUUUUAAGUCAGGGGUGAAAUCCUGGAGCUCAACUCCAGAACUGCCUUUGAUACUGGCGAUCUUGAGUCCGGGAGAGGUGAGUGGAACUGCGAGUGUAGAGGUGAAAUUCGUAGAUAUUCGGAAGAACACCUGCGGCGAAGGCGGGUAGCUGGGCCGACACUGACGCUGAUGCGCGAAGGCCAGGGGAGCAAACGGG